UACGGAGGGUGCGAGCGUUAAUCGGAAUUACUGGCGUAAAGCGCAUGCAGGUGGUUCAUUAAGUCAGAUGUGAAAGCCCGGGGCUCAACCUCGGAACUGCAUUUGAAACUGGUGAACUAGAGUACUGUAGAGGGGGUAGAAUUUGCAGGUGGUAGCGG
rnacentral:rRNA from 1 species